CGAGUCCAUGCGGCUCAGCGGUUCACCGUCCGAGGAGGAGAUCUCCACACUUGGCCGCCUCUUGUCGUCCAGCUCCCCGCCUCCGCUGCUCGCUUUCUCCCCGUCCUCACACCCCGCUUUGCUCUUCUCACAGUCCGCCUCCGAGCACCGGCUGUCCUCCCCCGGUUCCUCUUUCGCCUCCUUCAUAGCGCUGUCUUUGGCGGGCUCGCUGUUGCCCUCCCCGGGGCUCUGCUCGGGCUCGGGCUUCGCCUCCGGUUCCUCGGGAGCGGCUGUCUCCUCCUGGCUGACCGUCCCGGUGCCGUCGUGUGCCUCCGCCUCGCUCGGGGCCUUGUCCGCAGCUUCAGCGGGCUUCUCCUCGCUGGCCUCCCCGCCCGCCUCCUCCAUCUUCAGCUCUACGUGAGCGCUUGGUUCCGCUGGUUCCGCUUCGUUGAGGCCCUUCUCUUGGUCCUGGCCAUUGCUCUCGCUUGUCCCCGUGGAGGGUGAGUGGUUCUCGGCAGCCAGAGCGGGUGUUUCUCCGGUGGGUUCAGCAGCCAUUUCUGCACCGUGGGACAGUUUCCGUGUCUGUGAGUCCGUCACUACAGAGAGGGCGGGGUCCACCAGGCGAGCGCUCUGAUUGGUCAGCGGCAGCACGAGGAGGCCAGACUGAUAUGUUGGGAUUUAAACUCAUCUAUGUUUAAACUUCCCAUGUGUUUCUUCUUCUGUGUUUUAAAAAGGAGUCAGUGUUUACUACAGGAGUUGUUAUGACAGAGCAUGAGGAAGAAGAGGGAUCCCUGAGGUUGACUCAGGGGCGGCUCCUGGUACAGGCGACAUAGGCGGUUGCCUAGGGUGAAAACAUCCUGCGCAGAAACAAACUGCGCACAUCCUGCGCAGAAGCCCAUUGCGCACAUCCUGCGCAGAUACCUACUGCGCACAUCCUGCGCAGAAACCUACUGCGGCGCACAUCCUGCGCAGAAGCCCAUUGCGCAGGGAUUGCGCGCGCAGGUGAUGGAAAUCCUGCCAGAGUUCAGUAUAUUGCCGGCACGAAGAUAAGAAGGAUUGGGACUCAAACCCGCGUUUCGUGUUGAAGAACGACCACUCUACCUACUAGGCCAAACUGCCUAGUGACAUUUGCUGAUGUCACCAUCCGGGUCUCCGUGGACAGGCAAGCCAGCAUCUAAAACAGCCUCCUGGAUGGCUCCCUGUGUGAACAGACACGCUGCGUUGACAGACUGCGGUUAGAGUCAAAGAUGAAUCAAAAAAAGAUUAAAUUAUCAGGUGCACAAUUCAGAAAGCACCGCAAAGUAGAGGAGAAGAAAGAACAAUAUAGAGGUCAGAAUCACCCCGAUUGUGGACAUUACUAAUGUUAAUUUUUGUCGACAUGACAUGAUAUGCUAUCAGUACAGCUGAUUUCAGACUCUUUAUAUUUUUUGUUAUAUAUUUUUAUUGUUUUUUAUAGCUUACAAUUUUGUCUGCCUGUGUGUGCAUCUGUAUAGAGUCCAAAAGUUAUUGUGGAUGCAUGACAGUUUGCGUGUGUAUGUUGGGGGGCGCCAAUUUGAAAUCUCGCCUAGGGUGCCAACAUUGCCACGGCCAGCCCUGGGCAAUACAAGAUAAAAAAAACAAAACAUUUAACAUAGUAACAUAUAACAUAGUACAACAACAUAUUUAAAUACUUUAUAUUUACAUAAGGAUAUGGUCCUCUCUACAGCGGAAGCCAUGCUUUUUACAGAAGCCCACACUGGACAAACUACACACCUUUUGAGUUGUUAUGACGACUGAAAUCUACCACAGGUUCUCUUUAAUGUUUGGAAGGGGAGGGUGAAGUGAUGGGUAUUCAGCUGCCACAGGCAACCUCACCACUAAAUUCUACACACUGAACCAGUAAAUGUCUCUCAUCAAGACAAGAUAGUAUUUCACUGAUUCCGUUCUUAUCCGAUACAAUGUUGGAUAUUUACAGCGUGUAUGUGUUUGUUUUCCCUUGCUUUCUUCUGAAAUACCAGAUGAUGUGACUCUGACACAUCAUCAUUGCUAAAUCUGGGGUCAAAGGGUUGUUUGUGUGUUAAACCAGCCAUCACAGACCCUCACCAUCAGUCCCCAGCUUGUAGCACCCCACACCCAUGUCGAUGAUCCUUCUACAUUUGGAUGAUGUUCUCACUGCCUCUCUCUUCUUAUUCCCAUUGAUUUUGAGAUUAGAAGUUUGGUGGAAUUGAAGUAAAAUUCCGUGUUGGGUACAUGAGGUAUGCCGGAGGACUUAAAUAAGAAUUUAGUUCCACAUUGAUUGCACAAUAUCUAACACAAUGUAAAUUUAAAAAGGGAUACAGUAACACUAACCCUAACCCUAACCCAAAUAACAAUAAACUAAUUCCCAACAUUAUAGUGAAGCCUUAAUAAUAAGAAUUAUUAAUAUUAUUCAGAUUAUCACCAUUGAUGAUAUUAUUAUUAUCAUCAUGUACUUUAGGGUAUUUUCAGUGCCCAGGCAAAGUGUCUGCACUUCAAAGCUCUACAGCAGUGAGAGUUAUUAAGUUGCAAAUCCAUCCAAAAAAUGUAAUUUUAUUAUGUUAUACGUAAUUUGUUAUAUGUUAUAUGGUAUGUCAAUUUUUUAAAUUUUUGUAAAUCCCGUCUACUGUGUAGAUGCUGCCUGCAUAGAUGCUGCCUGCCAUGUCCCAAGAAUAUAUAACCACAAAGAGAUAAGAAUAAAAUUGAAUUUGAUUGUCUGA